UUUCCUUAACUGUAACACAGUAAAAUCUUUGAAAUAGUUGCAGGUUGCGUUUAUAUUUUUGUUCGGUAUAGUUUCACGUCUGUCUUGAAUACUGCAGACUCCUCCGCCACUUUGUUAGAAGAGAGAAAAUGCAGCCGCUAUGGUCAUUUUCACCGUUGCAAUGAUUACGACACAAUCGGCGCCCAUAGAAACAAGCAGUGAAAUAAUCAUCCGAUCUCUUCUGAGUGAGAUAAAUGCAGAACAUCAUCAGGAGCCAGUUGUGCAGGAAAAGGGGGACCGAUGACUCCUCCCAGAAACCCUCGUAUUGAUUGCUCUUCUGGCUGCUACUCUGUCAUAUGUGACCCCACUACAACACGAUCACCACGCCAGCGAGGUGAACCAUAAGGUCACACAGUGGUGGAAAAAGUACUUAAUUGUCAUAGACACACCCUGCAGGAUCUGGUUUCCUUCUUACAGAGGAGAAAUAAACAACCCAGAAUCCCCAGUAAAUGAAGGAAGAACAAAAUACUCAACUUGAGCAACUUUCCUCCAAGGCACUAUCAUCAAUAUGAAUGUUAUCACUGACACCCACUUUGUUGUCACAAUUACAGAAUUUAUAUUGAGGACACACUGUGUUGUUGAACAUCUCUAUGUGUUUUCUAAGAUGAAUGAAAGUCUCUGUUUCAUAU